ensembl:lncRNA novel transcript, antisense to SSPN
AUCUCACUCUGAGUACUGUGUGUUUCAUCUGCCUUCACUCUCACAAUUAUUAUCAACUUGCUGGCUAUAAAAGGCAGGGGCUACAAACUCAGUGAGCCAAAUGCAGUGCUUGCUUCCUAUCUGUGGUCCAUUGCAUAGCAGUGUGCUUGGGUGCUGCGUAAGACAAUUCCCCCCAACGCCUCCAAAAAAUAGGACAUGGUCCACUGCAGGAGUUCAUAAUCUAGGAGUCCAGAGAGUCCAGGCUCAUCAUCCCUUCAGAAGAAAGAAUCUUCAGGCCUCUGCUCUUGUGAGAGUAAUUUCUCUUAACACCGACAGUGCAGCAAUACAACUACCACCACCUUUCAAUUAUUGAGAGGCAAUCAUCUAAAGCAUUUGGCAAGUGAUCCACUUACGGAGCCAAGCUAAGGGAGCUGAAGAGAAGAGGCCGCCGCCCCAACCCAGGUGUUGUUAGUUAUCUAGCCUUUUGCAAAGCCUCUUCCGUUUCUACUCUGCUCUUUAAGCUAUUUCAUGCCUUGAAGAUGUCUCUACCAGGGAAAAUAAAGAGAUUCAGCUCUUCCCCCACCUCCUGCCUGUCUCCAAGACAGAGUGGGGCUGAUGACUGGAGGUGGGAAGGACUAGAGGAAGAUGCCACAAAAUUUAGCAACUGGGCCUGAAAUUCACCAUUCACACCAUCAAACUGGACUAACAGGAAAGAAGAUUAUGUAAGGA